UAAGAUAUAUGGAUUUAUAUCUAGAUAUAUGGACUUAUAUUUACACACAUAUGAAUAAUAUAUGGAUAAAUUAUAUGUUAUGUGCUAUCUUUUGGUUUGGCCUAAAUAAGUGGUCUUAUGGACAUAAGGUUAAGGAGGCCAAUAUAUUGUCAUAUAAAGUGUAGGACUAAUGUGUAGAUAUCCAAAAGGGUAACCUUAGUUGAUGAUAGGCUAACUAAGGUUACAUAUAUGUAACCAUGGUUACAUGCUUGUGACUCUUGAGUUAUAUAACUCUUGUGACUCUUGGGUUAUGUAGCUCAUUUGUUAUUAAGUGGGGGUUAUGGUUCCCACAUUAGUGCAAGACAAGACUCUUCUUCCUCCCAUUGAAUCAAGAGCCAAAAACUCAUUGUUGUCUUGCAAAUAUUGUGGAAAACCAUAUACCAAUUUGAUUAUUGUCAUAACAUUAUACUUGUGGUGAUACUAUUCACAUAUUGCUCAAGUCUUGCGAAGAAUUCUUGUGGUGACAUACAACUUCAAGACAUUCUUGAAGAAGGUUCAAAGGAGCAAUCNNNNNNNNNNNNNNNNNNNNNNNNNNNNNNNNNNNNNNNNNNNAGAAGGUUCAAAGGAGCAAUCUUCAUAAGGACUCAAGGACAAUCAUCAAAAGGAGGUUCAACAAUUUCCACACAUGGAUUCAGGUUAGCUUCCGCUCAUGCAGUUUAAUUCCGAAUUGUUCAAUAUGAAGGUUAUUGUCUUUAGUAGGAAUCAUAAUCCUAACAAUUUGUAUCAUAGCCACCUUCAUUUUUGGAUAAUUUGGAUGUUCAUAAUAUUCAUGUUAUGUUAGGAUUCAUGUUCAAGUUAUGUUAGAAUUUUAUUUAUGAAAUCCUAGUACCAUGAAAUAGCAUGAUGUUAUGACUGUUAUGUUUUGUUGGAAUUUAAUGUUUUAAUACCAUGUUAUCUUUACAUGUACUAAAACAUUGUAUUAAGCAUGAUUUUAG
rnacentral:lncRNA from 1 species